rnacentral:lncRNA from 1 species
GUGAGGCCACAAUACACCAAAAAUGGCCUAUAGCGAUGGAAAUUUUGUGAAGGAAUUUAUUCCUUCACAUGAGGAGUUGUUUAGCGAAGGAACAGUGAAGAAAAAAAGUAUAGUGACAAUAUAGUUAUUAGUGAAAGAAAUAUCCUUCACAAUUUAUAUUUUUUUCUCGCAAAAUUGGGGCGAUAGAAAAUUUUUUGGAGCCAAUUUAUGAUAAAAAUUUGCGAGAAAAAAAUCUAUUUAGUGAAGGAAUUAUUACUCACUAUAUAUCAUUAUUCAGAAGUUUUUUGCGAG